rnacentral:rRNA from 1 species
AUACGGAGGGUGUAAGCGUUAAUCGGAAUUACUGGGCGUAAAGCGCGCGUAGGCGGCUUGAUAGGUCGGAUGUGAAAUCCCCGGGCUUAACCUGGGAAUUGCAUUCGAUACUGUCAGGCUAGAGUGUGGUAGAGGGAAGUGGAAUUUCCGGUGUAGCGGUGAAAUGCGUAGAUAUCGGAAAGAACAUCAGUGGCGAAGGCGGCUUCCUGGAUCAACACUGACGCUGAGGUGCGAAAGCGUGGGGAGCAAACAGGAUUAGAAACCCUAGUAGUCC